AAAAAGACAAACCCUGGGUUUCCAUGUCCAACGUUUGACUGUCUGUCUUAUAUGAAUUUUUUUAUAAUUAGUAUUUUCAUUGUUGUUAGAUGAUAAAACAUGAUUAAUACUUUAUGCGUGACUUAUCUUUUUAUUUUUUUUUUCAUAAUUUUUUCAAAUAAGGCGGACGGUUAAACGUUGGACACGGAAACCUAGGAUUUGUCUUUUU
rfam:Oryza rufipogon genomic scaffold, chr03